rnacentral:rRNA from 1 species
GUCGAACGAUGAUGCCCAGCUUGCUGGGUGGAUUAGUGGCGAACGGGUGAGUAACACGUGAGUAACCUGCCCCUGACUCUGGGAUAAGCGUUGGAAACGACGUCUAAUACUGGAUAUGACUGCCGGCCGCAUGGUCUGGUGGUGGAAAGAUUUUUUGGUUGGGGAUGGACUCGCGGCCUAUCAGCUUGUUGGUGAGGUAAUGGCUCACCAAGGCGACGACGGGUAGCCGGCCUGAGAGGGUGACCGGCCACACUGGGACUGAGACACGGCCCAGACUCCUACGGGAGGCAGCAGUGGGGAAUAUUGCACAAUGGGCGAAAGCCUGAUGCAGCAACGCCGCGUGAGGGAUGACGGCCUUCGGGUUGUAAACCUCUUUUAGUAGGGAAGAAGCGUAAGUGACGGUACCUGCAGAAAAAGCACCGGCUAACUACGUGCCAGCAGCCGCGGUAAUACGUAGGGUGCAAGCGUUGUCCGGAAUUAUUGGGCGUAAAGAGCUCGUAGGCGGUUUGUCGCGUCUGCUGUGAAAUCCCGAGGCUCAACCUCGGGCUUGCAGUGGGUACGGGCAGACUAGAGUGCGGUAGGGGAGAUUGGAAUUCCUGGUGUAGCGGUGGAAUGCGCAGAUAUCAGGAGGAACACCGAUGGCGAAGGCAGAUCUCUGGGCCGUAACUGACGCUGAGGAGCGAAAGCGUGGGGAGCGAACAGGAUUAGAUACCCUGGUAGUCCACGCCGUAAACGUUGGGCGCUAGAUGUAGGGACCUUUCCACGGUUUCUGUGUCGUAGCUAACGCAUUAAGCGCCCCGCCUGGGGAGUACGGCCGCAAGGCUAAAACUCAAAGGAAUUGACGGGGGCCCGCACAAGCGGCGGAGCAUGCGGAUUAAUUCGAUGCAACGCGAAGAACCUUACCAAGGCUUGACAUACACCGGAAACGGCCAGAGAUGGUUGCCCCCUUGUGGUCGGUGUACAGGUGGUGCAUGGUUGUCGUCAGCUCGUGUCGUGAGAUGUUGGGUUAAGUCCCGCAACGAGCGCAACCCUCGUUCUAUGUUGCCAGCGCGUUAUGGCGGGGACUCAUAGGAGACUGCCGGGGUCAACUCGGAGGAAGGUGGGGAUGACGUCAAAUCAUCAUGCCCCUUAUGUCUUGGGCUUCACGCAUGCUACAAUGGCCGGUACAAAGGGCUGCGAUACCGUAAGGUGGAGCGAAUCCCAAAAAGCCGGUCUCAGUUCGGAUUGAGGUCUGCAACUCGACCUCAUGAAGUCGGAGUCGCUAGUAAUCGCAGAUCAGCAACGCUGCGGUGAAUACGUUCCCGGGCCUUGUACACACCGCCCGUCAAGUCAUGAACAGUCGGUAACACCCGAAGCCGGUGGCCUAACCCUU